rnacentral:rRNA from 1 species
AAUGAACGUUGGCGGCGUGGAUUAGGCAUGCAAGUCGCGCGACAAGGAACCUUCGGGUUCUGGAGGAGCGGCAAACGGGGUAGUAAGGCAUCGGAACGUACCCUCUUGUUGGGAAUAGCCGCGGGAAACUGCGAGUAAUGCCCAAUAAUCCCUACGGGGCAAAGGUCCGCCGCAGGAGGAGCGGCCGAUGUGAUACCAGCUAGUUGGUGAGGUAAUGGCUCACCAAGGCUUAGACGUCUAGGGGGUGUGAGAGCAUGGCCCCCACCACUGGGACGUGAGAUACUGCCCACGACACCUACGGGUGGGCUGCAGUCGA